UAGGGAAUAUUAGAAAUGGACGAAAGUCUGAUCUAGCAACACCGCGUGUGCGAAGAAGGCCUUCGGGUUGUAAAGCACUUUUUGGAAGGAUUAGGAAGGAAUGUACUUCCAGAAUAAGUCUGGGCUAACUACGUGCCAGCAGCCGCGGUAACACGUAGGAGGCAAACGUUAUCCGGAUUUACUGGGCGUAAAGCGCGUGUAGGUGGUUCUGUAAGUAGGGCGUGAAAGCUCCUGGCUCAACUGGGAGAGGCCGUUCUAAACUGCAGAGGUCGAGGAUGGUAGAGGGGAGUGGAAUUCCGGGUGUAGCGGUGGAAUGCGCAGAUAUCCGGAGGAACACCAGUGGCGAAAGCGGCCUCCUGGACCAUUCCUGACACUCAGACGCGAAAGCUAGGGUAGCAAACGG
rnacentral:rRNA from 1 species